rnacentral:ncRNA from 1 species
AAUAAGAUGAGGAGACCCUAUGGAGCUUUAAUUUAUUAAUGCAAAUAAAAGCUCAAACAAGCCUACAGGUCCUAGCCUACUAUCCCUACAUUAAAAAUUUUGGUUGGGAUGACCUAGGAGCAUAGUCCAACCUCCAAACAACCUAAACUAAGACCGCAGUAGUCCAAACAAGUUUGGAUAGAUAGAUAGACAGAUAGAUAGAUAUCCAAUAAUUUUAUCAAUGGAGUAAGUUACCCUAGGGAUAACAGCUCAAUCCUAUUCUAGAGUUCAUAUCGACAAUAGAGUUUACAACCUUGGUGUUGGAUCAGGACAUCCUGAUGGUGUAGCCACUAUUAAGGGUUCGUUUGUUCAACGAUUAAAGUCCUGCAUGAUCUGAGUUCAGACUGGAGUAAUCCAGGUUGGUUUCUGUCUAUU